rnacentral:lncRNA from 1 species
CUCAACAUGAAAAUUUAUGACUUCAAAAUUUGGGACAUUACUCUAAAACAAACAAAUUCACCUAAAUUCACGCCACAACACUGGUUUCAACAGACCUUAAACAUGCUCAAAUCAACUAAAAUUUUUAUUGCACUAGUCUUCUACCACUUAUACAUGUGAGCUUAAACUUCAAGUUCAUUUUACUAAGCCAAUGUAAAAGAUAACUUGUCCAACCACAUAACAUAAAUCUAAAACUAUACUAAACAAGAAUUAAACAACUUAUAAAAGCCUAUGUAGAUUGAUCUUCAAAUACAAAUACAAUCAGCUGCAUUUUUAACCAAAUUCCAUAUUUUCCAUACAUAAAGCCAUAUCUACAACCUCACUUGCUAUUCAAUGGUUCAAAGUUAUAUCUGGGAAUAAAAAAGAACCAAAAAUGAAGAAUCAGCAAUAACAGCAGCAGCAGAAUAGCUUAACAUCCAAUAAUGAAACAGUGUUUCCAAAAGCAAAGUUUAAACAAAACCUUUAAAUAUCCACAACUCGAUCAAUUUCAAAACCAAGUGCAAGAUUGUGAAAUAUUCAGUGGUUUUAAACUAAGCAAUGAGGAUCAAAAGAACCAAAAUCAAGCAGAGUUUUUAAUAGUUUUCACAAAGAAAAUUUAGGGAAUUCAAGGUUAUAUCAGAAUUUUUUCAAAGAAAAGUAGUCGUUUCAGUUUUCAGGAUAUCUUCU